GACUGGGGGUGGCUUCUGUGAUGUUUCUCCGCAAAGCCAUCGCUCUUGAGACCCUAACAGGAAUCUCAGACUCCUACCCAGAUCAAAGAAGAAAGUCUAUCGGAACACUUCACCAGGUUUGAGGUGACUCCAGAGUUCGGUAACCAUGGAACCCCGCGGCCUUAGCAACAGAAGGGUAGCAUGGAGCUGCCAGCCACUUCCAUUCUCUGGGCUUGCUUUGGAAUUAUCUUCCACUGCACCCUCCCCGCCUUGCUUUUCCACAAGGCUCUCACUUUUUAGGGAUACCCAGGAUCCUAGCAGAGUGAACUUUUCUAAAUGUCACGUGGGUGUUAUUAUAGGGAAAGGGACACUUGUAAAAGCUGAACCUUUAGCCUGCCUGCUGGUGAGCAUGGCAAUUAGAAGGGUACCAGAGCAGCUUCCGGGAGGUGUUGACAAGAAAUUACUGUGUCACCAGCAUUCUGUCACACCCAGAAACACACUCCAAACUUCAUUAAUGCCACUUCGGCCGUGUUUCAACAGCCACAUGUUGAACUUGGGUCACUUUGAUGGAAAUGUCUUCAGUAGGAGGCUCUGAGUUUUA
rnacentral:lncRNA from 1 species